GGGGGGGGGGCUAGCGUUAUUCGGAAUUAUUGGGCGUAAAGGGCGUGUAGGCGGCUUCGCCAGUCCCAUGUGAAAGCCCUCGGGCUCAACCGGGGGAACUGCAUGGGAAACUGCGGAGCUUGAGUCCGGGAGAGGAGAGUGGAAUUCCCAGUGUAGCGGUGAAAUGCGUAGAUAUUGGGAGGAACACCAGUGGCGAAGGCGGCUCUCUGGACCGGUACUGACGCUGAAGCGCGAAAGCCAGGGGAGCAAACGGGAUUAGAUACCCCGGUAGUCCUGGCUGUAAACGAUGAGCACUUGGUGUGGCGGGUAUCGACCCCUGCCGUGCCGAAGCUAACGCAUUAAGUGCUCCGCCUGGGGAGUACGGCCGCAAGGCUG
rnacentral:rRNA from 1 species